rnacentral:rRNA from 1 species
ACUCCUACGGGAGGCAGCAGUGGGGAAUAUUGCACAAUGGAGGGAACUCUGAUGCAGCGACGCCGCGUGAGUGAUGAAGGCUUUCGGGUCGUAAAACUCUGUCCUUGGGGACGAUAAUGACGGUACCCAAGGAGGAAGCCCCGGCUAACUACGUGCCAGCAGCCGCGGUAAUA